GUAAUAGUGAUUUGACUAGUAUUUAAGCGUGCUUGUUGAAGAAAGUUGGCGGUUGAUGAAAGCCAUCCAAGCUCCUUGAGGAAUCCACAAAUCUUAACUGCUUUACGAAAUAAAUUUAAGUAAAGCCGGUCGUCGCCGUUAUGAUCAGAGUGUAAAAGCAAGGCUUUUAAAAUAGGGUGGCACCGCGGAAUCAGAGACCUUUCGUCCCAAAU
rnacentral:ncRNA from 1 species